UCUUAGGAGGUUAUCAGCUGGAAUCGUGGACUCUUCGACUUAGAUCAAACCGGAAACACGCGAAAAAACUUAAGCAGUAAGACUAAAGACAGAACGCGACAACGACGUUACACCUGACAACAACGCGAUAGUCAAUCAGCAUUUUGUUCUUAUGGAAAAGCGGCACAUUAAUUGGUUAUUACCUCUUGCUUUUUAUUCCCGGCACGUUUGUUUUUUCAAAGCGUAAUGAGACAUGCAGGCUGCAUCAUCAACUGGAGUGAUUGGAUGUAUUGGGAAAUGCAUGAGUGGUUUGACAGUUGAAGAGCUAGAUAAAAUAACAGAUAACGUAAACAAGACUUUGUCUCAUCCAAAAGGCAGACAGAUUUUGGCAAAGUAUCUUGAACAAAACAAUCUUAAAAGUGGUUUGGAUUGUUUGGACUUAUACAAUGUCUGUUCAGAUUUUCUUGCUAAGGCUCAAUCGGAACGUUAUGUGGACUCAUUAACUGAAGAUGUAACAACACUGAUGGAUAUGGUUGAUUCUGUAAAUGGAGUUGAGCAACUAGAUAUAGUACUUCUACGGCAGUUUGAUGAGGCUUUAACUAACGGAAGUAGAGAGGAAUUGCUUGCUGUAAUAGAAGAAACAAGAAGUAGAGUGCGAGAUUAUUUAAGAGGUUUACAUGAAGAUUUUAAACGAUAUGCAUCAGAACCAUGUCCGUUGACAAAAUGCGUUUUGUAAAUUUGGUGACAAAUAAUUAUCUGAUAUGCCUGGUGAGAUAAUCUAUAAAAUCCUACAAAAGUUUUUGAUCAUUUAUAAGAUGUUCUACAUUUGGUUUUUUCAAAUUUUGGAAAAAGGAUUUAGUGCAUUCACCAGAGUACAAGGGGUUAAGGCUAUUUCUUUUAGAUUUAAUAUAUUCUGUAUCUAUACAGUAUUUAUACUGUAAGGUCUGUGAUGUACAUUUUUAUUUUCAUGUCUUAUUUAUACCCAUUUUACACAUGAUUUAUCCAGUACCUCAAAGCUGUAAGAUAAUUGUACUUAAAGAUAAAAUUGUUAUAGAACUGUACAAAGAUAAAAUAUUACACAACUUCAGCAACAAAUAGUACACCAAAGUCAGAUGAAACUGUUAUAAACAACUGUUUUUCAUUUUUAUACAAAAUACACUUCUAUAAAUAGAAGCACUAAGUCUAGCAAACAUGCUCUAUAUAGUUUAGUUUGUGUGAUGUCGAUCCGCUAUUUGAAAGAGUAUGUAAAAAAACAUAAAAACUAUAGAGUGGUUUAGUAUUCAAGUAAGUUUUAUACAUUCAGCACCAACACAUUUAUUUAGAAAUGCAUUUUUUUGUUAUAAUAUUUUUCGUCUGCGCAUAAUGGACAAAGUAGAAAAAGAUGUGCGCGCGCAGAAAAGGACAGAGAUUUCCUCCUGUGUUUUGUUUCUUGUCAAAUUCAAACAAAUACAACAAAAUAUAUAAUGCUGGAUAUAGUUGUAUAUCAGUCUAUUUAUAAUUUAUGUAUGUAAAGGUCUGUGACAUCAAUAAAACAACAUCCGUUAACGAGAUCGAAUCGUAUUCCAUUUUCUGAUCACCGACAAAUGUCAACGGUCAUGUGUGCGAAACAUUCCCGAGAGAAAUAUGUUGACACGCUGAAUAAAAUACGUGAUACCAUCGAAAAAUUAGAUAAAAGUUUGAAGUAUUCGCAAGACUUAGAAGCUGUCAGAUUUCUGCGAUAUUCCACCUUGAAGUCUCGUACUGCAAUUUUGACGGAUGAUUUGAGAAAGGCUAAAACACAAAACAAACAGAUGUUGAAUUUAUUUCGCCAAAGCGUGACGGAUGUUCAACUUGAUUCUGUCGAUAUAUUGCCGGAAACUCUAAAACGACAUGUACAGAGAACGUGGCAUCAAAAGUAUGACGCUUUACUAAUGCAAAAUAAACAAUUGAAAAAAAAAAUUAUCAUAAUGGAUUAUAUGAUAAAAGGAAAACAACAAGAGGUA